UACAGAGGGUGCGAGCGUUAAUCGGAAUUACUGGGCGUAAAGCGCACGUAGGCGGCUUGGUAUGUCGGGUGUGAAAUCCCCGGGCUCAACCUGGGAACUGCAUCCGAAACUGCCUUGCUCGAGUAUGGGAGAGGGAAGUGGAAGUUCCGGUGUAGCGGUGAAAUGCGUAGAUAUCGGAAGGAACAUCAGUGGCGAAGGCGACUUCCUGGACCAAUACUGACGCUCAGGUGCGAAAGCGUGGGGAGCAAACAGG
rnacentral:rRNA from 1 species